UUAAAUAUCGCAUGGUGUUUAAUUUAAAACUGAGGUGGUAAAAGAUGGGCAUGCGUAGCAUUAGCUAGUUGGUGAGGUAACGGCUCACCAAGGCGAUGAUGCUUAGGGGGUCUGAGAGGAUAGUCCCCCACACUGGUACUGAGACACGGACCAGACUCCUACGGGAGGCAGCAGUGAGGAAUAUUGGUCAAUGGGCGGAAGCCUGAACCAGCCAUGUCGCGUGCAGGAUGACGGCCCUAUGGGUUGUAAACUGCUUUUUUACGGGAAUAAACCUUUCUACGUGUAGGAAGCUGAAGGUACCGUAUGAAUAAGGAUCGGCUAACUCCGUGCCAGCAGCCGCGGUAAUACGGAGGAUUCGAGCGUUAUCCGGAUUUAUUGGGUUUAAAGGGUCCGUAGGCGGGCGAUUAAGUCAGUGGUGAAAUCUCUCAGCUCAACUGAGAAACUGCCAUUGAUACUGAUUGUCUUGAAUUUGGUUGAGGUAGGCGGAAUACGAUAUGUAGCGGUGAAAUGCA
rnacentral:rRNA from 1 species